UACAGAGGGUGCGAGCGUUGUCCGGAAUCACUGGGCGUAAAGGGCGCGUAGGCGGUCUCUUAAGCGUGUGGGGAAAGCCCGGGGCUCAACUCCGGGUCGGCCGUGCGAACUGGGGGACUGGAGCUUGUCAGAGGCAGGCGGAAUUCCGGGUGUAGCGGUGGAAUGCGUAGAGAUCCGGAAGAACACCGGUGGCGAAGGCGGCCUGCUGGGACAGUGCUGACGCUGAGGCGCGACAGCGUGGGGAGCAAACAGG
rnacentral:rRNA from 1 species